CCUACGGGAGGCAGCAGUGAGGAAUAUUGGUCAAUGGGCGCGAGCCUGAACCAGCCAAGUAGCGUGAAGGAUGACUGCCCUACGGGUUGUAAACUUCUUUUAUAAAGGAAUAAAGUGAUGCACGUGUGCCUUUUUGUUUGUACUUUAUGAAUAAGGAUCGGCUAACUCCGUGCCAGCAGCCGCGGUAAUACGGAGGAUCCGAGCGUUAUCCGGAUUUAUUGGGUUUAAAGGGAGCGUAGGUGGAGUGUUAAGUCAGUUGUGAAAGUUUGCGGCUCAACCGUAAAAUUGCAGUGGAAACUGGCAGUCUUGAGUACAGUAGAGGUGGGCGGAAUUCGAGGUGUAGCGGUGAAAUGCUUAGAU
rnacentral:rRNA from 1 species